UCGAGUCUGAGACACGUGCUCUGAACUUUGCCUCCCAUGUUCAAAAAUUCAACCAAAGUUAAAAUGAACUGUUCCGGCUCUGCUGUGCCAGAGCUCAUCGUCGACUGCGGAAAAACGCAUAUUCAUAAACCAGAUACACCCAACUAACUGUCUUGCUCUACUGAACCUAAAUCCAAAAACGUAAUCUCCUAAUUCCCAAACACAAGGCCGAAUUGAAGACUAAACGGAAAGACCCUAGCUAGCGAAAUCGAGCGUGAAGCUUUACCUUGUGGUAACUUCGUUUGACAAAACGGGCAUGCUUGAAAUGUUGCUACAUCAGAGUAUAUGCUCGGAGCAUAAACGGAAGGCAACAAAGGUGUUUCAGUGGAAGGUUUUUUAGGGUAUUGAUUGCACCAGUUCAAUAAGAGCAGGGGAGGUAGUAGACUUGGUGGCUGCAGAGAAAUGCUUGUCCAAAUGUGUGUCUUUGGUUCUGAAAAGUCUCUACACCAUGUACCUUUGGUGUAUUCUUUUUGCUUGUUUUGGACUGAUGUGUUUUUUACCACAGUAAAAGGUUUAUGGUGAUUGCUGCAGGUUGGUGUGUGAAGCAUGUUAUAGGUUUAGACUGAUGGUUGAGUAUGAUAUUGAUGAUGAAUUGUUGCAGCUUUGGAAAGGAUUUAAGGUGAGUUUGUUGACUGCCGCAAGUUGAGUUUUGCUUGUUGAAUUGAGGUGCAAGGUUGCAGUUGUUGUGGUGAUGAACUGCUGCAAGCAUUGAUGCAGGAUUGAUGUUGCUUGAUGUGUUUGCUGCAUACUUUGGAUGUUGCUCCGAUUGCUUGAAGCUUGCUGCAGGUUGGAAAUUGUCAUGUUUGAAUGAGAUGUUGCUACUUGUAUGCUAAUGUGAUGAGUUGCAUUGCAUGUUGUCUCAUUGCUGUCAUGGCCUGCUAUGGUUUAUGCUUGUGAUGUGCUCUAAAAAAUGGCAUGGAACAUGGAAACAAAUGGAGCAUUGAUAUGGUUUGUAUUGAUGAGGUAACAAGUGGAGCAUGGAUGACAUAAGAUCAAUGGUGGGCUGCAAUGAGAACUCUUCCCUUUUGUUUAAGAUUUGUAAUCAAACAUUAUAAUGCUAUGUAUUAGUGAAUGUAACAUGUGAAUGUUCAUAAAAUGGUUAUAGCUUAUGAUGGAAGAUGCUUAUGUAACCAAUGUCAAAUUUGCAAUCAAACACCUUUAUUAA